AGAUUCCUACGGGAGGCAGCAGUGGGGAAUAUUGCACAAUGGGCGCAAGCCUGAUGCAGCGACGCCGCGUGGGGGAUGAAGGCCUUCGGGUUGUAAACUCCUUUCGCUAGGGACGAAGCUUUUUGUGACGGUACCUAGAUAAGAAGCACCGGCUAACUACGUGCCAGCAGCCGCGGUAAUACGUAGGGUGCGAGCGUUGUCCGGAAUUACUGGGCGUAAAGGGCUCGUAGGUGGUUUGUCGCGUCGUCUGUGAAAUUCUGGGGCUUAACUCCGGGCGUGCAGGCGAUACGGGCAUAACUUGAGUGCUGUAGGGGUAACUGGAAUUCCUGGUGUAGCGGUGAAAUGCGCAGAUAUCAGGAGGAACACCGAUGGCGAAGGCAGGUUACUGGGCAGUUACUGACGCUGAGGAGCGAAAGCAUGGGUAGCGAACAGGAUUAGAUACCCUGGUAGUCCAUGCUGUAAACGGUGGGCGCUAGGUGUGAGGGUUUUUCUACGAUUCUCGUGCCGUAGCUAACGCAUUAAGCGCCCCGCCUGGGGAGUACGGCCGCAAGGCUAAAACUCAAAGGAAUUGACGGGGGCCCGCACAAGCGGCGGAGCAUGUGGAUUAAUUCGAUGCAACGCGAAGAACCUUACCUGGGCUUGACAUACAUCAGAUCGCUGCAGAGAUGUAGUUUCCCUUUUGUGGUUGGUGUACAGGUGGUGCAUGGUUGUCGUCAGCUCGUGUCGUGAGAUGUUGGGUUAAGUCCCGCAACGAGCGCAACCCUUGUCUUAUGUUGCCAGCAUUUGGUUGGGGACUCAUGAGAGACUGCCGGGGUUAACUCGGAGGAAGGUGGGGAUGACGUCAAAUCAUCAUGCCCCUUAUGUCCAGGGCUUCACACAUGCUACAAUGGUCGGUACAACGCGUUGCGACACUGUGAGGUGGAGCGAAUCGCUGAAAGCCGGUCUUAGUUCGGAUUGGGGUCUGCAACUCGACCCCAUGAAGUCGGAGUCGCUAGUAAUCGCAGAUCAGCAAUGCUGCGGUGAAUACGUUCCCGGGCCUUGUACACACCGCC
rnacentral:rRNA from 1 species